GUAGCGGCGAGCGAACGGGGAGGAGCCCAGAGCCUGAAUCAGCAUGUGUGUUAGUGGAAGCGUCUGGAAAGGCGCGCGAUACAGGGUGACAGCCCCGUACACAAAAGCGCAUGUGCUGUGAGCUCGAUGAGUAGGGCGGGACACGUGGUAUCCUGUCUGAAUAUGGGGGGACCAUCCUCCAAGGCUAAAUACUCCUGACUGACCGAUAGUGAACCAGUACCGUGAGGGAAAGGCGAAAAGAACCCCGGCGAGGGGAGUGAAAAAGAACCUGAAACCGUGUACGUACAAGCAGUGGGAGCACAGGUUUACCUG
rnacentral:rRNA from 1 species